CGUUAAUUUUUCCUAGAUGAGAUCAGGAACCGUAUUAAUGGGGAAAAAAAUCUUCGUUUCAAAAAUUAAUUUUAGUGCGAAUGCAAAUAAAUUAAUAUCACAAGCGGGAUUGCAAAAUGCCGCGCCUUUUACACUGAGUUAUUUUUCUUUUACCUAUGUAGUCAAGACUCAAGAGGGAAAGAACUAGAAUUUCCUUGGAAGGGUCUGUAAAAAGCUGCGGUUUCAUUUCGCCGUCAGCUAUUACCUCCUGAAGAGCAGCCUUAACGCCCAAGGAGACUGCGUCAAGACAACCAAGAAGUGGAUUAAGGCAUGGACGGAUUGGAAGUCCGCGGUUAAAAAGAAGGCAGCAGAUAUUGCUGCCUCAAGGAAUAAAACGGGUGGUGGGCCAUCCACAUCCAAAUCGUUGAGUUCCUUGGAGGAAAGGUGUGUGGCACUUAUAGCUGGGAUAGCUAUUACAGGGAUGAAUGUCCCAGACCCUGCAAGUGAUGAGGAGAUUGCAGAAGUCUCACAGACACCAAAGAGGCCAAUGAGCCAGGAUGGGAGUGCCUCCAAAAAAAAGGAGAGUAGAGACCCCUACAAAUCAUUUGGAUGAAAGGAUUCAUUCUCUAGAGAACAUGCAGGAUGAAGGAAUGCAGAAAAUCUGCCAAAAAAUUGAUAAUUUAGUUUCGUCGAUAGACAAUCUGACUAAAACAAUAAACCAGAAUGGUGAAAGUAUUACACGCGCCGUAACGCAUGUAGGCAAUCUGCUGUAUGCUUCGCUCGAUAGAAUAUUUAAUAAAAUUUGAAAAAUUA